CGAGGCUUCUUGAUCCUAUGUGUUGUAUUGAGUGUUGGUCACUGGUCUUUGGGAAGCUUGGACAGAAGUGGGGCAGCCAUGGAGCUGCUGACUGGGACUGGCCUGUGGCCCGUGGUCAUAGUCACAGUCAUCUUCAUAUUACUGGUGGACAUGUUGCACCGGUGCCAGCGCUGGACUUCUUGCUGCCCACCAGACCCUGUGCCAUGGCCUGUGCUGGGUAACCUGCUGCAGGUGGACCUGGAUAACAUGCCAUAUAACUUGUACAAGAUGUGUCUGCAGGUGUGGUCCUUGCUCCUUAUGGGCCUGAGUGGAAAGAGCAGAGGUGAUUCUCUGCGUCGACCCUGUGCAACUUCAGCCUGGGCAAGAAAUCACUGGAGCAGUGGGUGAUGGAAGAGGUUGGACACCUCUUUGAUGUCUUCACUGCCCAUGCUGAGGAGGCUGUAGACAAGAGAUUUGGAAAGAACACAUCUAGAAGUGUCCACCACAGUAAUAGGAGCCUGGAGAUUGACAUACAGCAAAAGGAAGUGAGAAGCUGACCAAGGUCAGGGCUUCUAGAAGCUGAGACCCUGGCCCUCUGCCCACAUGGAACAUCUGUGAGAUUUUCCAGGUUCUGAACACAUUCCCAAUUCUCCUACGCAUCCCAGGGUUGGCUGACAAAGUCUUCCCUGGGCAAAAGACAUUUCUCAUAAUGGUGGAUAAGCUGGUGACUGAGCACAAGAGGACCUGGAACUCGGACCAGCCGCCUCGAGACCUGACUGAUGCCUUUAUGGCUGAGAUGGAGAAGGCAAAGGGAAACCCUGAGAGUAGCUUCAAUGAUGCAAAUCUAUGUCUGGUUGUCCUUGACCUGCUGGGUGCUGCAACUGUGACCACCUCAACCACACUGUCCUGGGCCCUGCUGCUUAUGAUCCUGCAUCCGGAUGUGCAGUGCCAAGUACAACAGGAAAUCGAUGAGGUCAUUUGGUAUGUGUGGCUUCCAGAGAUGGCAGACCAGGUCUGCAUGCCCUUCACCAAUGCUGUCAUUCAUGAGGGCAUGACUCUCAUCUCCAACCUGUUCCGUGCUGAAGGAUGAGACUGUCUGGGAGAAGCCCCUUCGCUUCCAUCCUGAACACUUCCUGGAUGCCCAGGGCCACUUUGUGAAGCCUGAGGCCUUCAUGCCAUUCUCAGCAGGUGCCUCUAGGGUGCCUUCCUGCCUAUCUUUCCCUAGGGUGCCUUGGAGGGUGGAGCACCAAUCAGGUCCCAGACUGAGCCCUCUUCUACACAUAGGCCACAGAUCAUGCCUGGGGGAGCCCCUGGCCCUCAUGGAGCUCUUCCUCUUCUUCACCUGCCUCCUGCAGCGCUUUAGCUUCUCAAUGCCAGCUGGACAAUCCCUUCCCAGUGAUUAUGGCAUCUAUACAAUGCCAGUUACUCCAGCACCUACCAGCUCUGUGCAGUGGUUUGCUAGCAGGGGCAGUGGCUCCAGCCAUCAUCACAGAUUGUUCUGACUGAUGUCCAAUAAACAAGUUUUGUGUCUGAAUC
rnacentral:lncRNA from 1 species